rnacentral:snRNA from 1 species
GUUUCUUCGGGGGCAUCCAAUAAAAUUGGAGCGAUACAGAGAAGAUUAGCAUGACCUCUGCGCAAGGAUGACGCGCACAAAAAAAUACAUGUUACAAGUGUGU